rnacentral:rRNA from 1 species
GACGAACGCUGGCGGCGUGCUUAACACAUGCCAGUCGAACGGUGAAGCUCCAGCUUGCUGGAGUGGAUCAGUGGCGAACGGGUGAGUAACACGUGAGCAACCUGCCCCUGACUCUGGAAUAAGCGCUGGAAACGGCGUCUAAUACUGGAUACGAGAAGGGUCCGCAUGGGCACUUUCUGGAAAGUUUUUCGGUUGGGGAUGGGCUCGCGGCCUAUCAGCUUGUUGGUGAGGUAAUGGCUCACCAAGGCGACGACGGGUAGCCGGCCUGAGAGGGCGACCGGCCACACUGGGACUGAGACACGGACCAGACUCCUACGGGAGGCAGCAGUGGGGAAUAUUGCACAAUGGGCGAAAGCCUGAUGCAGCGACGCCGCGUGAGGGAUGACGGCCUUCGGGUUGUAAACCUCUUUCAGCAGGGAAGAAGCGAAAGUGACGGUACCUGCAGAAGAAGCACCGGCUAACUACGUG